ensembl:lncRNA
CGCCGCCCGGCGGGCACAGCGCCUGCCCCGGGGCGUGGAGGGUGCCGCGUGCCCUGCGAGAGGUCUUGCCGUAGAAACGCUUCCCUCGCUGCGCUGUAAAAACGUAUUUUCAGCUCCGUCGCCGUUGUGAAAGCAAAUCAGUGCAGUAUGAAGGCUGUAUCACAACUCCAGCUUGGACUUAGUCCUUUUCACUCCAUCUACUGGACUACCAGAUUUACCUGUGCCUAGACAUGUCCCUUCAGGAUAUGUACUGACUGAAGUGAGGAGGAAGCUGAGUCUGCAGGAGUAACUGCUGUAUUUCAACAAGAACUGACCAUGCAAGCUGUGGCUUCAAAGCCUUUUGAACUCCAAGCAAAAGCACGGGCAGAUGGAGCAUUCAGUCAGGCUCUUUGCCCAUCCUUCUGCAAAUGGCAGGAACGAUGAAAGCAGCAUAAAUAAUAGAGAGGAGCACAGCACGGAAAAAUAAAUGGCUAAAGAACUCAGAAGCAAUACUUCUGGAAUUUCUCUCCUCAUCAUUUUCUAAGUCCUAGAACCUUCUACUUCCCCUGCUAGCUAAAGAAAAGAGAUCAGUUUAACUCAGGCAUGUAAGGACAGUUCUUUCUUCGAACUUAAUUGCAAGAAAAGCCUGUGGAAGGUAAUGCAGAUGUAAGGGAUGUGACUGCGCAUGCCAGACAGACACUGCCAGCAUCAGUUCUUCCUACUUUCCCCAGCCGUUAAUUACUCACUGGAGAUUAUGCCCCCAGUGCAAUUUCUUUGUUCUCCAGCUUUAUUACAACACAGUGAACUCUUCAGGAGUGUAAGUUUUUGCCAACAAGAAGCAAAUUAAUGACACAUUACCGUGUGUUUCCGCUGUCAUCACAAGUGAACACAGUACUUGUAAGAGAUGCUAUUUGCAGACCUCUUAAAGCAAAGACCUUGGAUCUAGCCCCAGCUAUGGCACAGUGAGCCAACCACAGCUCUACUGGAAGAUACAAGGCUGCAGUGAUCUAAGUGGUGCCUCAACCAAACCUUUAACUCCAUCCAAAUAGAAACACAGCACAGCAACACAACCUCCCUCUGCACUGCCCUGUUAACUCAUCAUCAGUGCAGCUUCUCAGGCUAUUCCACCACCUGGUGGAACCCAAGAACGUACUCCAUUAAAUGUCAGCAAACUAAUUGCUAGCCUGUCAAAAUACAGCAUAUAUGACCGCUGACAGCUCUCGCUGGCUGUGUAUGAUUUAGAUAGUCUUUGUUAUCAUUAUCCCAUGCAAUACAUUGUAUAAUCAACAAAUAUACAGAGUGGUGUGUUUAGGCUGGUAUCUGCAGAUCGUACAGCUAGAAAGAUUGUCAUGUUGGAAAGGGAUAAUUGAAAAUAAAUGAAAAUGCUCACCGAUGUCCUAGGCUCACAGAAAAAACUCCAAGAGGAGCAAUCUCCAACCAGAGAUCCUUCUCCAGUGACAGUUAGCCCUUGAACGGGGUCGAGGAGAGGUGCAUCCAGGCUCCACCCCUUCCGAUCACACAGCUGGAUUGCCUUCACCUGUGCUCCCAGGGCUGACUCAGCCCUUGCCUCAGGUGAUCAAUCAGAGGUUCAGGCCGUGACUCAACAGUUCCCAUACAUACAUAGAUUGUCAUUUUUAAACAGACAAAAUGUACAUAUUAUAAUAAAUUCUUCAUAUGUAUGGUACAGAGUGCCAUGUAUAGGUGGUGCUACGCCACACAUUAUCCAGUAAUAGGUAUUACCAAAUCAUUUGCUUUCAUCGUUCUCACCAGUAGAUGAUCACGGUUUGUUUUCUUCCAAACACCCACUUUGUUAUUUCAUAUCCACUUAUUAAGGAAUAUCCUUAUAUUGUGAGUGGCAAGAAAUGUGGAGAGAGGCCAUAUACCAAAGUGCUGUGUCAACCUGCAAGGACCUGCAGAGGGCAGGACCAUGAGGUUCACUGGUUUGGGGGUAUUACCCAGCACUCCAGAGCUGUUCUAAAGGUCACGCAUUCUGUGCAUAAAUAGAAGUGUUGCUAACUGAUCUUUGCUAAACUGACUGGCUACUUGCUUAGACAGCCCUGAACAAAUAUUAAUUGAAACAAUCCAGAGGGCACAUUAUCUCUGAAGAAACCAAAGAUGUUCCGUUGACUUUGGUCUCAAUUACUCAACAGCUUCCACACAGAAAAAGCACACUCGUGAAAGAAGUCAAUCUACUGCUUUAAUACAAAACAUAACUAGAAAGGGUUCAUGCAGAAUCCUACUGUUUCUGUGAUGACCCCCUUUAGGAAAGCACAACUCGGAGAGGGAAAAUUGCUAGAAAGCUGCUGUUUCAUGUGCAUCAUUUGUCUGUGAGAUCUGAAUCAUCAGCUUAACUGCUGAAUUACUCUUUCUGCCUUAAGAUAUGAGAGAGGGAUUCUGAGGGAAACAGAUCAAAAGGCAGCCUUUCCUCCAGCAUAGCACUGAGUGCAGGAGCCAGUUAAAAGUCAUUGCCUUUGUUCUUUGUAGAGUACAAGAACCAGUCUUCCCAUACAUCUUAGCAAUACUGAGAAGCAGAUGAAGCAGAUGAGGAAAAAGAGUGCCUACCUCUCCUAACUAUUUCGCUUCUGCAAAAUAAAGAGUCCAGAUUAGUCAGAGUUACUUGUUGUUAAAUCUAGCAGCCACUUCAGCAAGAACAAUGACAGAAAACCUUGCAGUAACAGGAUUCACUGUGAGGGUGUGAGGGUUGCUGUGCCAUACUUUACAGGGAACCAUUCUGCUUAAUGGUUUAGCAUCUGCUAAGCGUCAGAGUCGGUGAUGUGUUGGUGACAGCGCAGAACUGCUGAAACACAGGACAACAAGCAACAUGAAAAAGCAGAUGCUGAGGCUGUUCAGGCCCUUGAAAAGGGCACUCAUGACAAGAAAGCUCCUGUGAUUCAAUUCAAGGGCUUCACAUCUGGAACAAAACACUUUUUGCAGGGUGCAUGAAGAGGAGCUGGUAACUUUAUAAAGAUAGCACACUCCAGAAGGCUUGGUUCUUUACUGCAAACAAAGCUGGUAGACUUCAAGCAAAACUACGUAGGCUAUAAUGAAUAUUUUUGACUGUAGGGAGAAAAAUGAAUGGCUUGAGUCCAGAAACUCUCUGCCUACAUACAGAACUAGGUCUGUAGGAGAUCCUUAUUCAGCAAGUUUCCUACAAAAGACAUUAAUUUACAUUUUCUUGUUUAAACAACUUUCUCCAUGUGAGAAAUUCCAGCAGACACAGGCUUGGAGGAAUGAAUGAGUGCUGCAAAGAAUUCUGUACAUCACAUAUGGACACUUGUGACUGCUACCAUUCUGGGGUCCCAAAGAUGAUGCAGACACCAGGACAUCAGUCCCUGUUAAUCUGCAGCUGCUCUCCUCCUGGCAGUGCAGUUUGAGAUACAUGAGGUCCUAAAAGGGCUCAGAUGAAAGGAAAGGUUUCUUUUAAUUGUCAUCACUGUUAAUGAACAACUUAGUCCUGUUCAAACAUUCAGACUGUGAUAUGGGUAAGUGUCUCAGUUUAUCAUGCCCUCAAUCUUUUGAACAGCUAGGUUUUAUUUGCUAAGCUCUGGCUGGUCCAAAAGGAACAAGCUUACCCUGAGAGAGAUUGGCUGAACUUGCGGCCUGGACUUUAGAUAAAAAAAUGUUCAGGAUUUGAUGCAAUUUUGCCUCAGCUACUUUUGCCAAGCUUUGAGCUGUCCUUGCAAACCCAGCAACUAAAGCAAACUUCCCUGGAACCCUCCUGCAAAAUAGAAAGGCAUAGUCUCAUUUCAAAAGGCUUUUACUAGGAGGUUCCAUGUCUACAAGUUAAAGAGAAAUGAUGAGUCUUUGUGCCAAAACGAAAAAUACAAACACAAAUGAAUGUGCUAGUGUUAGCUAUGGUUUUCUAUUUUCUAUGCAAUUAGAAUAGCCAUGUGAAAUAAUUAAACAGUGACAACAUGUACUCCUCAUACUGUUGCAUAAUAGCUUCCCAUGAAUUUAUUAAUCAAUGUAUAGCUGUUGAAAUAUUCAAUAUGUUGUGCUGGGGCUUUCCACUCUUGUCCCCAGGGUGAACUCCUUUCCUAUUGCUCUGGCUCACUCAGCAUCAGUACUGUUGACAUUUUCAAUGAUACUACAGUUUUAUCUUUGAGAUUUUUUGAAGAAAAAAUGUUGCAACAAAGACAAAAUACAUCAAACGAGAUGUCCAGCUGUCCACAGAAACAAAGGCCUAUCUUCUGUAAGUGACAUUCAACUAAUUCAAGGGUCUUUGCCCAGAGCGCCAAAUACCAAAGGCAUGAUGUGUAACACCACCUUUCCUGUUGGGCUGAUUUCUCCUGUUCCACAGCAGCGCCCAAGAAGUCCUGUGCCUGUAGUAAUUUGGUCUGCAAGAGGAGUCCGUAAGACAAAAUUGAAUGGAAAGUGCUGUAUUCUUUUUACAAUUAAUUCAUGCAAUUUUCAAAUUGACUUUCAAAAAAGCACCAGACACACCCGAGGAAAUAAACCAAUGAUGUGAAUUGCUGCCUGAAACCAUUAUAUAGGUAAUAGCUUGCAUUUAUUGUGGUGGUG